rnacentral:rRNA from 1 species
AGGAAUAUUGGUCAAUGGGCGAGAGCCUGAACCAGCCAAGUAGCGUGCAGGAUGACGGCCCUAUGGGUUGUAAACUGCUUUUAUAAGGGAAUAAAGUUAGUCUCGUGAGACUUUUUGCAUGUACCUUAUGAAUAAGGACCGGCUAAUUCCGUGCCAGCAGCCGCGGUAAUACGGAAGGUCCGGGCGUUAUCCGGAUUUAUUGGGUUUAAAGGGAGCGUAGGCCGGAGAUUAAGCGUGUUGUGAAAUGUAGACGCUCAACGUCUGCACUGCAGCGCGAACUGGUUUCCUUGAGUACGCACAAAGUGGGCGGAAUUCGUGGUGUAGCGGUGAAAUGCUUAGAUAUCACGAAGAACUCCGAUUGCGAAGGCAGCUCACUGGAGCGCAACUGACGCUGAAGCUCGAAAGUGCGGGUAUCGAACAGGAUUAGAUACCCUGGUAGUCCGCACGGUAAACGAUGGAUGCCCGCUGUUGGUCUGAACAGGUCAGCGGCCAAGCGAAAGCAUUAAGCAUCCCACCUGGGGAGUACGCCGGCAACGGUGAAACUCAAAGGAAUUGACGGGGGCCCGCACAAGCGGAGGAACAUGUGGUUUAAUUCGAUGAUACGCGAGGAACCUUACCCGGGCUUGAAUUGCAGAGGAAGGAUUUGGAGACAAUGACGCCCUUCGGGGCCUCUGUGAAGGUGCUGCAUGGUUGUCGUCAGCUCGUGCCGUGAGGUGUCGGCUUAAGUGCCAUAACGAGCGCAACCCCUCUCCUUAGUUGCCAUCAGGUUAAGCUGGGCACUCUGGGGACACUGCCACCGUAAGGUGUGAGGAAGGUGGGGAUGACGUCAAAUCAGCACGGCCCUUACGUCCAGGGCUACACACGUGUUACAAUGGCAGGUACAGAGAGACGGUCCCUUGCAAAAUGGAUCAAAUCCUUAAAGCCUGUCUCAGUUCGGACUGGGGUCUGCAACCCGACCCCACGAAGCUGGAUUCGCUAGUAAUCGCGCAUCAGCCAUGGCGCGGUGAAUACGUUCCCG